GGUGGCGGAAGCUCCUCAGUGGGGCCACCUGCUGAGAGCUCCUCACUCCCUGGCCCCUGGAAAGGUCUGAGACUGGGGCCUCCCACGGCCCUAACCUGGCCGUGUGAGCAGACUUUCAAGCUCCUGGGAGCUUGAAACAGACUCACUGCCAGAGCAGGCAGUAUUAGCAUACAAGAGAAGCUCUGUGGCUUUUACAGAGGAGAGAGAGAUAUAGCAAGGGCCAUUUCCUUCAGUAGCUCUCUUGCUAUC
rnacentral:RNase_P_RNA from 2 species